GUGAAACCGGGGCCCUAUUCUUACGGGAGGCAGCAGUUGAGAAAUAUUGACAAUGGGGGGAAGCCGAUCCAAGCGACGUCGCGUGUGGCGAUUUCGUGGACCAUUUUCUAGGGACCCCUAGAAAUAGGGGGGGACAAACUCGUGCCAGCAGUAGCGGUAAUACGAGUGCCCCAAGCGUUUUCCGGAUUUAUUGGGGGUAAAGGGUCUGUAGGUGGUUUGUUAAGUUUCUCGUUAAACUCCAGGGCUUAACUUGGAAAAGCGGGAAAAACUGGCAAACUAGAGGAUGUUAGAGGCUGAUGGAACACUUGGUGAAGGGGUGGAAUCCGUUGAUAUCAAGUGGAACACCGAAAGCGAAAGCAAUCAGCUGGGACGUCCUGACACUGAAAGACGAAAGCGUGGGGAGAGAAAAGGAUUAGAUACCCUUGUAUUCCACGCCUUAAACGAUGAAUACUAGCUAUUGCAAGGUCGACUGCAGUGGCGAAGCUAACGCGUUAAGUAUUCCGCCUGGGAAGUACGGCCGCAAGGCUAAAACUCAAAGGAAUAGACGGGGACCUACACAAGCGGUGGAUCACGUGGCUUAAUUCGAUAAUAAGCGAGGAACCUUACCAGGGCAAAGGUAAUGAAAGCAUCGAAAGAUUUGCCACAACAUUCCAGGUGCUGCAUGGUUGUCGUCAGCAGGUGGCUUGAGUUGCUCCCUUAAAUGGGGUAACUUGCGCAACCCUUGCUGUAUGUUUCAUGUGUCAUAGAGGACUGCCUCGGACAACCAAUCGGAAGGUGGGGACGUCGCCAAAUCUGCAUGGCCCUAUGUCCUGUGCUGCACACGUGAUACAAUGGGUUCGACAACAGGAAGCGAAAGAGCAAUCUGUAGCAAUCUUCAAACAAUUCUUCAAUUCGGAUUGAGGUUGGAAACUUGACCUCAUGAAGUCGGAAUCGCUAGUAACGACAGAUCAGCCAUGCCACGGCGAAUAUGUUUCGGGGUGUGGCACUAUCCCCCGUC
rnacentral:rRNA from 1 species